rnacentral:lncRNA from 1 species
AUCUUUCCUUUGUUCUUCGUUGAAUUUUCCUUUGUUUUUCCCUAAUUUUUCCACUGCUUCCUGAGUAUCGAUCGGGUGGGAGGUUUGGAGCGGCCGAAGAGGGAGGCUUGGAGCAGCUUGGAGUGACCGAAGAGGGAAGCUUGGAAGACAGCCAAAUAGGGAAGCUUGGACACCAACAUCGUUGGGAAGGAUGGGUGGGUAUCCGUCGGGCCGCCACUAUAGGCGGGUGGGGCGAGUGGGCACCCGCCGGCCUCUGAGCGAGAGUGAGAGAGGGAGAGAGAGUGUGUGAUGAGGGAGAGAGAUCUUCAGCAUGUGGGGAAUGGGUCGGCUG